CCCCAGCCCUCUCCCAUGCUAAGGGAGCGCUCUACCACUGAGCUAUACCCCC
rnacentral:tRNA from 1 species